rnacentral:rRNA from 1 species
ACUCCUGCGGGAGGCAGCAGUGGGGAAUUUUGGACAAUGGGCGAAAGCCUGAUCCAGCAAUGCCGCGUGAGUGAAGAAGGCCUUCGGGUUGUAAAGCUCUUUUGUCAGGGAAGAAACGGUGAAAGCUAAUAUCUUUUGCUAAUGACGGUACCUGAAGAAUAAGCACCGGCUAACUACGUGCCAGCAGCCGCGGUAAUACGUAGGGUGCAAGCGUUAAUCGGAAUUACUGGGCGUAAAGCGUGCGCAGGCGGUUUUGUAAGUCUGAUGUGAAAUCCCCGGGCUCAACCUGGGAAUUGCAUUGGAGACUGCAAGGCUAGAAUCUGGCAGAGGGGGGUAGAAUUCCACGUGUAGCAGUGAAAUGCGUAGAUAUGUGGAGGAACACCGAUGGCGAAGGCAGCCCCCUGGGUCAAGAUUGACGCUCAUGCACGAAAGCGUGGGGAGCAAACAGGAUUAGAAACCCGGGUAGUCCCAUGA